AUUGAACGCUGGCGGCAAGCCUAACACAUGCAAGUCGAACGAGCGGCGGACGGGUGAGUAAUGUCUGGGAAACUGCCUGAUGGAGGGGGAUAACUACUGGAAACGGUAGCUAAUACCGCAUACCAUCGGAUGUGCCCAGAUGGGAUUAGCUAGUAGGUGGGGUAAAGGCUCACCUAGGCGACGAUCCCUAGCUGGUCUGAGAGGAUGACCAGCCACACUGGAACUGAGACACGGCCCAGACUCCUACGGGAGGCAGCAGUGGGGAAUAUUGCGCAAUGGGCAGAAGCCUGAUGCAGCCAUGCCGCGUGUAUGAAGAAGGCCUUAGGGUUGUAAAGUACUUUCAGCGGGGAGGCGUUACCGGCAGAAGAAGCACCGGCUAACUCCGGGCCAGCAGCCGCGGUAAUAC
rnacentral:rRNA from 1 species